GACGAACGCUGGCGGCGUGCUUAACACAUGCAAGUCGAACGAUGAACUUGGAGCUUGCUCUGGGGGAUUAGUGGCGAGCGGGUGAGUAACACGUGAGUAACCUGCCCUGGACUCUGGGAUAACUUCGAGAAAUCGGAGCUAAUACCGGAUAGGACCUUGCACCGCAUGGUGUGGGGUGGAAAGUUUUUCGGUUUGGGAUGGACUCGCGGCCUAUCAGCUUGUUGGUGAGGUAAUGGCUCACCAAGGCGUCGACGGGUAGCCGGCCUGAGAGGGUGACCGGCCACACUGGGACUGAGACACGGCCCAGACUCCUGCGGGAGGCAGCAGUGGGGAAUAUUGCACAAUGGGCGCAAGCCUGAUGCAGCAACGCCGCGUGCGGGAUGACGGCCUUCGGGUUGUAAACCGCUUUUAGUAGGGAAGAAGCCUUCGGGUGACGGUACCUGCAGAAAAAGGACCGGCUAACUACGUGCCAGCAGCCGCGGUAAGAC
rnacentral:rRNA from 1 species